CAUGCCCCUUAUACGCUGGGCUACACACGUGCUACAAUGGGUAGAACAGAGAGUCGCAAAGCCGUGAGGUGGAGCUAAUCUCAGAAAACUAUUCUUAGUUCGGAUUGUACUCUGCAACUCGAGUACAUGAAGUUGGAAUCGCUAGUAAUCGCGAAUCAGCAAUGUCGCGGUGAAUACGUUCUCGGGUCUUGUACACACCGCCCGUCACACCACGAGAGUUGGUUGCACCUGAAGUAGCAGGCCUAACCGUAAGGAGGGAUGCUCCGAGGGUGUGAUUAGCGAUUGGGGUGAAGUCGUAACAAGGUAUCCGUACGGGAACGUGCGGAUGGAUCACCUCCUUUCUAAGGAGACAAUGUCUUUCUCUAUUCUAUUGGUAAUGUUCUUACAUUACUUCUGAACAUUGGAAACUAUAUAGUAGAACAAAAAUAACUCUAAACAAUUUCUUAGAGUUAGCUGUCAAAAAAAUAGAUUAAAAUAAUUAAGGGCACACAAAGGAUGCCUAGGUAGUAAGAGCCGAUGAAGG
rnacentral:sRNA from 1 species